GGAGGCUUAGAAGUGUGGACGCCAGUCUGCAUGGAGCCGACCUUGAAAUACCACCCUUUAAUGUUUGAUGUUCUAACGUGGACCCGUGAUCCGGGUUGCGGACAGUGUCUGGUGGGUAGUUUGACUGGGGCGGUCUCCUCCUAAAGAGUAACGGAGGAGCACGAAGGUUGGCUAAUCCUGGUCGGACAUCAGGAGGUUAGUGCAAUGGCAUAAGCCAGCUUGACUGCGAGCGUGACGGCGCGAGCAGGUGCGAAAGCAGGUCAUAGUGAUCCGGUGGUUCUGAAUGGAAGGGCCAUCGCUCAACGGAUAAAAGGUACUCCGGGGAUAACAGGCUGAUACCGCCCAAGAGUUCAUAUCGACGGCGGUGUUUGGCACCUCGAUGUCGGCUCAUCACAUCCUGGGGCUGAAGUAGGUCCCAAGGGUAUGGCUGUUCGCCAUUUAAAGUGGUACGCGAGCUGGGUUUAGAACGUCGUGAGACAGUUCGGUCCCUAUCUGCCGUGGGCGCUGGAGAACUGAGGGGGGCUGCUCCUAGUACGAGAGGACCGGAGUGGACGCAUCACUGGUGUUCGGGUUGUCAUGCCAAUGGCACUGCCCGGUAGCUAAAUGCGGAAGAGAUAAGUGCUGAAAGCAUCUAAGCACGAAACUUGCC
rnacentral:rRNA from 1 species